rnacentral:lncRNA from 1 species
CACAGGUGUUAUGUGGUGGCCCUCAUUCUCCAUGCAUGGAGCAGACUCUAGGAUCUGCAGUUACUGUAUGAUGAGCCCUUCUGAGUAUUUUGCUUGGGUGGACAGUUUAUGUGUCAGGUAUGUGUAUUUAUAAUUAAAAUCAAAUAUUAUUACAUAGGCUUUGCACCUGGCGAGGUAACAUUGAGAGUAGUUAAUCUCUAGACUGGAAUCCAUCUGGAAGACCACUCAAUAACUUGUGAUUAGCUGGACCUGGUGAUGCAAGCCUGGAGUCCCAGUUACCCGGAGGCUGAGGUGGGAAUAUCGCUUGAGACCAGGAGUUUGAGGCUACAGUGAGCUGUGAUUGUACCACUGCACUCCAGCCUGGGUGACAGUGCAAGACCUCAUCUCUUAAAAAAAACAAACAACUCAAAAAACCUCAUCAUUGAGCACCUAUGAUGUGCCAGCAACUGUACUCAGUGGUGGGGACUUGACGACAAACAAACCAGGGAUGGGAUCCUUGAGCAGUCACCAUCUGACAAGUGACUGGGAAAGAUGAAUAAUGCCCUUCACCAAGAUUCUUCUCUGAUCCACAAAUUCAAUUACCAAUUUAUUUGUUCACUGCUCUUAAACUUAAAUAUUUUUUAGUAGGUAAUAAAGACAUGUUUA